rnacentral:rRNA from 1 species
GAUGAACGCUGGCGGCGUGCCUAAUACAUGCAAGUCGAGCGAACGGACGAGAAGCUUGCUUCUCUGAUGUUUGCCGCACACGGGUGUGUAACACGUGGAUAACCUACCUAUAAGACGGGGAUAACUUCGGAACACCGGAGCUAAUCCCGGAUAAUAUCUUGAACCGCAUGGUUCAAAAGUGAAAGACGGCCUUGCUGUCACUUAUAGAUGGAUCCGCGCUGCAUUAGCUAGUUGGUAAGGUAACGGCUUACCAAGGCAACGAUGCAUAGCCGACCUGAGAGGGUGAUCGGCCACACUGGAACUGAGACACGGUCCAGACUCCUACGGGAGGCAGCAGUAGGGAAUCUUCCGCAAUGGGCGAAAGCCUGACGGAGCAACGCCGCGUGAGUGAUGAAGGUCUUCGGAUCGUAAAACUCUGUUAUUAGGGAAGAACAUAUGUGUAAGUAACUGUGAAGAGCUUGACGGUACCGAAUCAGAAAGCCACGGCUAACUACGUG